UGGGUAUAAGGUUGACACCUAAUAUCUUUCAAGAAGAAAGUCUUGGCUACUGUAAGAGAGGGUUCGAUUUAACAAAGGCCGCAGUAAUUUGAGGGAAAGUACGACAGAGAAUGAAUUGCCUUUUUCAGAUGGUAAGGGUGAAACGGCGGUGUAAGAGAUCACCAGUAUUUAUAGUAAUAUAAGUAGCUUGUAAACCCAACCUGGUAGCAAGAAACAGAUGGUUAGCAUCUUACAAUGCUACUGUUUCGCUAGAGUUGAUUUGUAAAAAGCAAAAUAGAUUAAUAUCACUACAACAAAAUACAGCUUACCGUUAUACCUUCCAU
rnacentral:RNase_P_RNA from 1 species